rnacentral:rRNA from 1 species
UACGUAGGGGGCUAGCGUUGUCCGGAAUCAUUGGGCGUAAAGGGCAGGUAGGUGGUUUGGUUAGUCUGUUGUGAAAGCUCCUUGCUUAACGGGGAGAGGUCAACAGAUACUGCCAGACUUGAGUAUGGGAGAGGGUACUGGAAUUCCUGGUGUAGCGGUGAAAUGCGCAGAGAUCAGGAGGAACACCGAUGGCGAAAGCAGGUACCUGGACCAUUACUGACACUCAGCUGCGAAAGCUAGGGGAGCAAACAGG